AAGGAGAGAGGGUCGUAAGGAGACUCGGGGCUAGGGUCGCGGAGGGAGUCGGGGAGUCUCAGGUUCUUGGUAGCGUGUGGUAAUUGAGCGGGGUUUGCUUGUCCUGCCGGGGGCUUCCGGGACAGGGCUGGCUUCUAGGGGUUUUGUAUUUGUUUUUCAAAGGGGAGAAGGUGUAAGGAGGGAAGAGAAUGACAGAAUACUGACUGGAACGCUAAUUGGAGAUUUUCAAAUGGGAAGAGCAGAAUAAUUCCAUAUUCUUCUUCCUUCAAUUGCUCCAUUAGGCAGGCUGACUAAUAUUUUGAAUUCUCAACUUUGAAAUCAGCCAGUGUGUUUGGCAGAUAUUGACCUAAUUUAGGGGUUAGAGUUUGAGCCAAUUUACAUGCAUUUUACUUAGGGCCCACAAUACAACCACUGUUUACGAUGGAACUUCUGCUGAAAACCUGUGUACUUAGAAGAAAUGCAUGUAUUGCGGUUUGCUUCUGGAGAAGCCAUGCUGUACAAAAGCCUUCAGUUAAAAAGAUUAGUACUACCUCUCCAAGGAGCACCGUCAUGCCCGCUUGGGUGAUAGAUAAAUACGGAAAGAACGAGGUGCUUCGAUUUACUCAGAACAUGAUGAUACCUGUCAUACACUAUCCAAAUGAAGUUAUUAUCAAAGUUCACGCCGCGAGUGUAAAUCCUAUAGAUGUUAAUAUGAGAAGUGGUUAUGGAGCUACAGCUUUAAAUAUGAAACGUGAUCCUCUACAUAUUAAAACCAAAGGAGAAGAAUUUCCCCUGACUCUGGGCCGGGACGUCUCUGGGGUGGUGAUGGAAUGUGGACUUGAUGUGAGGUACUUCAAGCCUGGAGAUGAGGUCUGGGCUGCAGUUCCUCCCUGGAAACAAGGCACUCUGUCAGAGUUCGUUGUAGUCAGUGGGAAUGAGGUCUCUCUGAAGCCCAAAUCACUCACUCAUACUCAAGCUGCCUCUUUGCCGUAUGUGGCUCUCACAGCCUGGUCUGCCAUACACAAGGUUGGCGGCCUGAAUGACAAGAAUUGCACAGGAAAACGUGUUUUAAUCUUGGGUGCUUCAGGUGGAGUUGGUACUUUUGCUAUACAGGUAAUGAAAGCAUGGGCUGCUCAUGUAACAGCAGUUUGCUCUCAGGAUGCGAGUGAACUUGUAAGGAAGCUCGGCGCAGAUGACGUAAUUGAUUACAGAUCUGGAAAUAUGGAAGAGCAGUUGAAAUCUUUAAAACCGUUUGAUUUCAUUCUUGAUAAUGUUGGUGGAUCCACUGAAACGUGGGCUCUAAAUUUUCUCAAGAAAUGGUCAGGAGCCACAUAUGUGACUUUGGUGACUCCUUUUCUCCUGAACAUGGACCGAUUGGGCAUAGCAGACGGCAUGUUGCAGACAGGAGUCACCAUGGGUUCUAAGACGUUAAAGCAUUUUUGGCAAGGAGUCCAUUAUCGCUGGGCUUUUUUCAUGGCCAGCGGUCUAUAUCUAGAUGACAUUGCAAAACUGGUGGACGAGGGAAAGAUUCAGCCAGUUAUUGAAAAAACCUUCCCUUUCUCUAAAGUUCCAGAAGCCUUCCUGAAGGUAGAAAGAGGACAUGCGAGAGGAAAGACUGUAAUUAAUGUCAUUUAAAUAAACUCUCAGUUUGGUGAUUAUUGGCUCUUAUUCGGUGAGUGCCUCUCAGCCCCAAAUUUCUAGUAGCCAUCACUUUCCAGAUUAGAUGAUGAGUUCCGUGAUACGCGUUUAAAAAUACAGACACCUAUUUGCCAGUAAUUUCUUGUUCUUUGAACUAAGCACAGAGAGUCCUUUUCUAGCCAUACCACCACCCUCUCUGCACAUCCCUGCUCGACAUCCGUGCAUUCUUGUUUGCCGAGAGGUCCUCUGACCCAAGCACCAGGGACACACGAGUAAGGAAGACAUGACAUGAAAAUAUCCACACUUGGACUUGUCUAUAAAGUCAGCGAAAAUUGCAUUGUUUUUUUCAAGCUGUUUUUCACACCAGAUUUGCACGUUGUUGUGGCAUCUUCUGUCCUAGUAGCUCAAAGUCUUUUAUUAAUGUUUGUGAGAUACUAAAACUUUUGGCAUAUGGGUGGAGGGCGGCAUGAAGAGCGUAAAGCUACUUCUUAAAAAAGUGCUCACUGAUGAAUCCAACUGGACAAGGCUUCUUUUGCUUUACUGUGGUCGUAACCACCCUCAAAGUUGUAAAUCUCUUAGGGUCACAUAUAAAAAUCUAGCUGAUUUGGUUGUUUAGUCUCAAGAAAAUGGAAGGUGAUGGUAAAGUUUCUAACUUUUUAAAACCCUUACAUUUAGCAUGAGGGCUAGGCCUCUUUCACCAACUAAAACAUGCUCCUCUGAGGACUUGUCCGUGGAAAUUGCAACCCUUCUCCAGUUUCUCACCUUAAAUGCCUGUACUUAGUUAUCUCGCCAAUAAGCCCAUUGCAGCUUUUGAAUCUCUAGUCUGUGACCUUCAUUCAAGGUAAGUGUUUAUUUCCUGUGGCAUUCCUCCUCGCUCCUGCACCUUAGAUACUAAGCUUUUAGCUUUGGACAUGGACUUGAGUAACCUGAUACUCAGUCUGUGCCUAUUACACACUCAUUUGGUAACACUGGAUGAGGGCUUUUCUCUGGAAUUGCUGGUCUCACCGGCCCAAAUACAUUUUAAGAGAAAGAAAGUGGUGUUCUCGUCAGUACUGGCCAUUUCUGACUUCCGUGUGAACAGUCCCAGCACUCUUCUUGAGGGCGCCGGGGUGGUAUAGCGAGGGGAGGGAAGGCCUCACUUACCCUCAUGUCCUCUCUCUUCACCAAGGAGUCUGGAAAGAAACUUUCCCCCGCCGUUAUCCAGCACUGCCUCCUCUCCGCAGUCAUCUGUGCCUAAUCUGCCCCGGUGAAGCGUUGAAAGGGCUACUGCAAGGACGCUCGCACAUCUCCUCAAUACAGUUAACCAGAAACCAGUUUAUUCGAGAUAAAUUCAAAACAGGCUACUGCAACAUGACCCCAGCACACUGUAGUGAUCCGCACGGAGGCCUAAAAUCGGAACUCCACAUCAUCUAAGAACAAGACCUGUUGGCAGCCGUUGGACAUGUGCAGGUGUUCCUUUAAAACCCAAGAUAAGCUACUGACCACAAGUGCCUAUCCAAGCCUCCAGGGAGGAGCAAUGGUUAGGAAGUGGAAACACUGGAACAGAUAAAAAGGAAAUGAGAUUUGUUCUUCCUGUGACCAGAGCACCAGUAUUAUUAACAAGGAUAAUGAAAUAUGGACAAAAGGGGGAAGAGUCUAUCCAAAGAACGUUCAGCAGUUUUGUUCAAAUGAGAAUACACUGUUUGAACCUAUGGGUCCGUGUAUUGUCAGCAGUUAAACUAUUUCAUUUUUCAUUGAGAUGCUGCAUUUUAGGGUUUUCAGAGUUCUAAAAUUUGACCAGCGUUGCUUAAGGCCUCCUUUCGUUCGCGUUUGGGAGAGAAUUGCUGGUCAUCAUCUUGUAGCCUUCCACCUCUUUUUACCGCUACCAGAAGGCAGUGGCCGCACUCCAUGCAGGCCUUGUGCCAAUGCAGCGGGAUAGGAAGGCAGGAAAUUAGGCUAAAGACUUGAGUUUAGCGAAGGAUUAUAUAACAUUUACUUCAGAACUAAUCGUAGAUGAGAGGAUAGGCUAGUAAAUUAGGUCACGGUAACACUGUUCCGUAGCAUCUGUAAGAAAAGCAUUAAACACCACUUAUUUGUGACAUUCUAGGCCAGCCCACAAGUGGGUUAAAAUAAUCCAAAUCCUGCUAAUGUUAGCAGACCUGACAAGAAAUCUUAUAAAUUUAUUAACUUUUAGUACUAAGAAAAUAGUAUUUUGUUUACUUAGUUCCUUAAAGUGUCAUAUAAGUCUUUCCCCACUUUGCUAUAGAGCAUAAUUGAUACAGAAAACAGUAGGACCAAAAUUAUUGGCCUGAUAUUUCUUCUCCGAUGCUAAACAAUCUUCUGCCUUACAAACUCGAGCUUUUCUCAUUCCCUUUACUUUUUAAUGUUUUUUUUUGUUUUGUUUUUUUUGUUUUGUUUUUUUUGAGAGCGUGUGAGCAGUGGAGUCUGGGAGACAAAGUAUCAAAGUGGGCUCUGUCCUGACAGCAGCAAGCCUGAUGCGGGGUUCCAGCUCAUGAACCAUGAGAUCAUGUCCUGAGCUGAAGUUGGAUGCUCAACCGACAGAACCAUCCAGAUUCUGCCAUCCGACUUCAUGCUCCAGAACUGACUGUCGACAUUCUGGUCAAGGGCCAGGCCCAGUUUGGAGCCUGAGGUCACGAGGCUCCCCACGAUUGUCAGGCAGCAGUCUUCUGCUAUCUGCUUACAGACAGAUAAGACUGCUUAGAGGUGAGACACAUUCAAGGAUCGUGAUCAGUUCUUGGCUCAAAGUGAUUUUUAAAGUUGUCUUAGUUGUAGUUUCAUUUACCCCACACGAGACACUUUCGCCAGAGGAACUGGGAUCAAACAACAAAUACUUAUGCCCUCACUUCAGAUGACACGAGUGCCAGAAAGUUCAAGAUUUCUCCCCUUUGUAAGGGAAACCUUAGAACAUUUUUCCCAUUCAGAAAUGACAAUGAUGUGAGGCUGGGUCUGUGGCUCUAUCUCCCCUGGCCUAACCAUCUCUGCUUAGCCUGACCCUUCUGGAAUGUGACUGCAUUUCUAAUUUGAAAGGCUGCUAUAACACUGAAGUGGCUAAAAAGGGCAUUUUAUCAUUUUAAAACAUGAAAUUCCAGUUAUUCUCUUAUCUUUCCUUCAUGAGAAAUGUCCAAUAAACAUUUCUAAGAAGACAUGUUAUCCAACUAUAAAAAGAGAGAAAGAAUAAAAUACAAAUACAGUGAAGUAUGUUUUCAUGCAAAUAUUUUAAGGGUCCUUUUCAAAAACAAAUCUAUCCUUUAUAUAUAAACAGUGUGUGGCAAUCCUGUUCAUCUGACAUGAACACAUACUGCUACAGAAAAUGCUUAUGAAAACUAUAUAUUGAGAUUAAAAGUGUGGUAAUCUAGGAUACUUUAUCUCACAGUUAAAUAACAUCACCAAAAUGUUUAUUAGAAAUAACUGCUGAAAGGCAGUUUUCUUGAAUUGUUUAAGAUAAAGCAGAAGUUGGCUUUUUAAAAAUCCCUUCUAAAUUCCAGCUACUUCUGUUUCUCAGGCUAUUUCUUCUGUGCCUGUCUAAAUACGACUUCUGCUUGCUGAAAGGAUGAUUCUCCCUCAAGCACAACAGACUCAAUUAACAAGUGGUCCUUCUGCUGACUCAUGGGGUACCGAGUUAAAAAAAAAAUUGGGAGCAAACAGUCAAGCCCAUAAAAUCAAGGAGUUAAAGAGUAUCUACAACAGAAGCAUAAGCUUCUCUAAUAAAGUCUUACUACAUUCAACUUUUUAACAUCUAGUAUGGCAGGAGUGAUGCAAGAGGGAGAUGGGCCAUUAUCUACUUUACAAGGUGUGAUAAUUAGGAAAUGGACUGUCUUGUACACAGGGCAUUAUCUCUUCACCCUAGUCUGUGGGGUCCUCCAAAAUCAACCAAUCAAGAAUGAUUUGCCAUAGUGCUGGGGCUUAUUGAAAAAAACUAUAAAAGAUCGAGGAAAUAGGGGAGAAUAACCCAGACACUCCCUUUUAUUACUAUAUAAAAAUCAAGUAUAAAUACAAAUACUCCAUCUAGGAUAAGUUCUAGAUUUACCUCGCAUUUUAAGUUCCUUGAUUGGUUCUAUCAGCUAAAAAAUACUUUCAUGAAAACCCUUCUAAUUUAUUUACGAAAGUGCUCAGGAAGCAUCUACUUGAAGAAAGAUGCUAUUUACAAACACUUGUCUAAGCUCACCCUGCAUUUGAUGCAUCCUUCUUGGUAAAUCCAAAUCUGAUCAUCAGCACCAACAUCUUCCAUGACCUGUAUUCUGAGAAGCUUCAGAUCCUCUAAGUUUCCAUUGGUGGACAUGAAUAACCCUGUUGCUUUGUUUCGAAGUCUGAAAUAAAUUCGUUUCUGGAAGACAGAGACCCCAGCGAUAGUCAUCUAUAAGUUGUACUGUUAGAAGCACAGAAUAAGCAUUAAUAGAGGCAGAAACCAAAGUGAGGUUGGAUUAAAGAUAACUGCUCUCCACAAGAGUCUCAGAGGGUUUAGGAUCUUCUCAAUGCAGAGUCUGUCAGAAUUUCAAAAUGCCGGGGGCAGGGAGCCUGCCUGUGGACAGCCCAGGGCGUGGGACCCGCCAUGUUUUGAUGUUGGGUGUGGUAGCAUUUCUGAAAGCCGUCACAACAUUUUAGCACCAGAAACAGAGCCCAAAUUUAAAGGAGUGGGGGGCGCAGAGACCAAGGUUAUACUUCAGUUUUAUACCGAAACUAAAAGGUUGAAUUAUGUUUACGAUAAAAGGUAAAGAUUGCAGAGAAGAAUACUCAAAGUCUAGAAAAGGAAUAAAGUACCUGAGCAAAAGGUCGUAGAGAACCUAUUUGGCGGCAGCCACUGAAUUCAUACCAAUUUGGGACUUCUGCUGGUGACAGUAGGAACUGCCGACCCCUGUAAUUGCCAUAUUCAUAAGUAACCCAUCUGGGAAAAAGAAGUGGAAAACCACAGUAAGCGGCAGUAUCCCUUUAACAGUUGCCCCUGAUUAUAUUUUUAUAGUGCUUCCAAGUUUUACACGGAGCUUUAUACUUUAAAUAUACAUUGGGAGAGAAAAAGAAACUAUUUUCUAAAACACUUAAAGCACCUACUUAUUGACAAAUAGCAAAUUCUUGGUACAUGAGUAUGCCACAAAGAUCCAUUUUUUUUUUUUUAAUGUUUAUUUAUUUUUGAGAGAGAGAGAGACCAUGAGUGGGGAAGGGCAGAGAGAGAGAGACACAGAAGCGAAAGCAGGCUCCAGGCUCUGAGCUGUCAGCACAGAGCCCGACACGGGGCUGGAACUCACGAACUGUGAUAUCAUGACCUGAGCCCAAGUCAGAUGCUUGACCUACUGAGCCAUCCAGGAUCCUAUCUUGAAGAGAAAUAGGACAAAUUACAAGCUCUGGCCAGGCUUGGCCUUUCCCUGGAGGUCUGGGUGUUCAUGCACUCCGAAGCUAAGGAGAGGACAGGCAGGCAGUUUUCUACUACAUGGAAAGGAAUAAUUGUUAAAAGGAGAGAAAAAAACCAGUGUGGAAGCUGCAUGUUCAAGCCAUCAUUUUAAAGAGGACAAGGGCACAGAAGUCCAUUCAUUUUCAGAAAAUAAAAAGCAGAUUAUGCUUGUUUUUCAAAUCACAGUUUGAAACUGACCCUAGUCUAAGCUCUAAUGAUAAUAAUCCUAAGAUCAUAAAUAAUACAUCAAAAAUUA